rnacentral:rRNA from 1 species
CAGUAGCCACGGGAAUACGGAGGGGGCUAGCGUUGUUCGGAAUUACUGGGCGUAAAGCGCACGUAGGCGGCUUGGUAAGUUAGAGGUGAAAGCCCAGGGCUCAACCCUGGAAUUGCCUUUAAGACUGCCGAGCUAGUAGGUGAGAGAGGUAAGUGGAAUUCCGAGUGUAGAGGUGAAAUUCGUAGAUAUUCGGAAGAACACCAGUGGCGAAGGCGGCUUACUGGCUCAUUCUAGACGCCGAGGUGCGGAAGCGUGGGGAGCAAACAGGAUUAGAUACCCCUGUAGUCCCUGUCUCUUAUAA